CCAAUCGCGUAUAUUAAGGUUGCUGCGGUUAAAAAGCUCGUAGUUGAAUUUCGGGAUUGAUACAUUGGUCGUGCCUUAAGGGGUAUGAGCUGGUGUGGUCAAUUUCUUACCUUCUGGUGAAUUGUGAUGUCCUCCUUAAUUGGGUGUUUCAAUGAACUAGGACUUUUUACUUUGAAAAAAUUAGAGUGUUUAAAGCAGGCAUUAUUUGCUUGAAUACAUUAGCAUGGAAUAAUAAAAUAGGACAAUGAUUCUAUUUUGUUGGUUUCUAGGAUCACUGUAAUGAUUAAUAGGGAUAGUUGGGGGCAUUAGUAUUCAAUUGUCAGAGGUGAAAUUCUUGGAUCAAUUGAAGACUAACUACUGCGAAAGCAUUUGCCAAGGAUGUUUUCAUUAAUCAAGAACGAAAGUUAGGGGAUCGAAGACGAUUAGGUACGUCGUAGUCUUAACCAUAAACUAUGCCGACUAGGAAUCAGACAACGUUAAAUUUUUAAUGACUUGUUUGGCACCUUACG
rnacentral:rRNA from 1 species